CAUGUGGUUGAUACUGUGGCAUAUAUAUAUAUAUAUAUAUAUAUAUAUGUGUGUGUGUGUGUGUGUGUGUGUGUAUACAUAUAUACAUACAUUUUACAUACAUUUUAAUAUAUAUAC
rnacentral:miRNA from 14 species